UCGAGGGGUAACAUGGAAGUAGCAAUACAACUGAUGACGACCGGCGCACGGGUGAGUAACGCGUAUGCAACCUACCUACUACAGGGGGAUAGCCCGGAGAAAUCCGGAUUAAUACCGCAUAACACAGGGAUUCCGCAUGGAAAUAUUUGUUAAAGAAAUUCGGUAGUAGAUGGGCAUGCGUUCCAUUAGCCAGUUGGUGAGGUAACGGCUCACCAAAGCAACGAUGGAUAGGGGAACUGAGAGGUUUAUCCCCCACACUGGUACUGAGACACGGACCAGACUCCUACGGGAGGCAGCAGUGAGGAAUAUUGGUCAAUGGACGAGAGUCUGAACCAGCCAAGUCGCGUGAAGGAUGACUGCCCUACGGGUUGUAAACUUCUUUUGUGCUAGAGUAAAAAAGAGUAUGUAUACUCCCUUGCAAGUAUAGUACGAAUAAGCAUCGGCUAACUCCGUGCCAGCAGCCGCGGUAAUACGGAGGAUGCGAGCGUUAUCCGGAUUUAUUGGGUUUAAAGGGUGCGUAGGCGGGACCUUAAGUCAGCGGUGAAAGUUUGAGGCUCAACCUUAAAAUUGCCGUUGAAACUGGGAUCCUUGAGUGUAUUUGAAGUAGGCGGAAUUCGUAGUGUAGCGGUGAAAUGCAUAGAUAUUACGAAGAACUCCAAUUGCGCAGGCAGCUUACUAAACUACAACUGACGCUGAAGCACGAAAGCGUGGGUAUCAAACAGGAUUAGAUACCCUGGUAGUCCACGCAGUAAACGAUGAUUACUAGCUGUUUGUGAUAUUACAAUAAGUGGCUAAGCGAAAGCGAUAAGUAAUCCACCUCGGGA
rnacentral:rRNA from 1 species